UAAAAUUGAAAAUGGAAAUGGGGAAUGUGUCAAAGAGACAACAACCCGACCAAAUAAAAAGCAACAGCAGAGGGUCACCAACAGGUCUUCAAUGUAGCGAGAAAUUCCCGCACCCGGAGGCGUCCUUCAGCUGGCCCCUAAACAAAUAUAUACUAGUCCAGUGAUUAUGAACGCCAUACUAAUUUCCAAAUUGUACACAAGAAACUAAAAUUAAAAUAAUACAAGACUAACAAAGGCCAGAGGCUCCUGACUUGGGACAGGCACAAAAAUGCGGCGGGGUUAAACAUGUUUGUGAGAUCUCAACCCUCCCCCUAUACCUCUAACCAAUGUAGAAAAGUAAACGCAUAACAAUACGCACAUUAAAAUUCAGUUCAAGAGAAGUCCGAGUCUGAUGUCAGAAGAUGUAACCAAAGAAAAUAAACAAAAUGACAAUAAUACAUAAAUAACAGCAG
rnacentral:lncRNA from 1 species